AUUGAACGCUGGCGGCAGGCCUAACACAUGCAAGUCGAACGGAGCGGCGGACGGGUGAGUAAUGCCUAGGAAUCUGCCUGGUAGUGGGGGAUAACGUCCGGAAACGGGCGCUAAUACCGCAUACUAUCAGAUGAGCCUAGGUCGGAUUAGCUAGUUGGUGGGGUAAAGGCCUACCAAGGCGACGAUCCGUAACUGGGCUGAGAGGGUGAUCAGUCACACGGGAACUGAGACACGGUCCAGACUCCUACGGGAGGCAGCAGAGGGGAAUAUUGGACAAGGGGCGAAAGCCUGAUCCAGCCAUGCCGCGUGUGUGAAGAAGGUAUUCGGGUUGUAAAGUACUUUCAGCGAGGAGGCGUUACUCGCAGAAGAAGCAACGGCUAACUCCGUGCCAGCAGCCGCGGUAAUUC
rnacentral:rRNA from 1 species